AGUGAACGCUGGCGGUAGGCCUAACACAUGCAAGUCGAACGGCAGCACAGGAGAGCUUGCUCUCUGGGUGGCGAGUGGCGGACGGGUGAGGAAUACAUCGGAAUCUACUCUGUCGUGGGGGAUACCGUAGGGAAACUUCCGCUAAUACCGCAUCCGAGCUCAGGGACAAAUCAGGGGACCUUCGCGCCUUCCGGGGAUACCUGGGCCGAUGUCGGAUUAGCUAGUUGGCGGGGUAAAGGCCCACCAAGGCGACGAUCCGUAGCUGGUCUGAGAGGAUGAUCAGCCACACUGGAACGGAGACACGGUCCAGACUCCUACGGGAGGCAGCAGUGGUGAAUAUUGGACAAUGGGCGCAAGCCUGAUCCAGCCAUACCGCGUGGGUGAAGAAGGCCUUCGGGUUGUAAAGCCCUUUUGUUGGGAAAGAAAUCUAGCGGGCUAAUACCCGGUUGGGAUGACGGUACCCAAAGAAUAAGCACCGGCUAACUUCGUGCCAGCCGCCGCCGUAA
rnacentral:rRNA from 1 species